UACGUAGGGUGCGAGCGUUGUCCGGAAUUAUUGGGCGUAAAGAGCUUGUAGGCGGUCUGUCGCGUCUGCUGUGAAAAUCCGGGGCUCAACCCCGGACUUGCAGUGGGUACGGGCAGACUAGAGUGUGGUAGGGGAGACUGGAAUUCCUGGUGUAGCGGUGAAAUGCGCAGAUAUCAGGAGGAACACCGAUGGCGAAGGCAGGUCUCUGGGCCGAUACUG
rnacentral:rRNA from 1 species